rnacentral:rRNA from 1 species
UACGUAGGGUGCAAGCGUUAAUCGGAAUUACUGGGCGUAAAGCGUGCGCAGGCGGCUUUGCAAGACAGAUGUGAAAUCCCCGGGCUCAACCUGGGAACUGCAUUUGUGACUGCAUGGCUAGAGUACGGCAGAGGGGGAUGGAAUUCCGCGUGUAGCAGUGAAAUGCGUAGAUAUGCGGAGGAACACCGAUGGCAAAGGCAAUCCCCUGGGCCUGUACUGACGCUCAUGCACGAAAGCGUGGGGAGCAAACAGG